UCAGGCCUAACACAUGCAAGUCGAGCGAGGACUUCGGUCCUAGCGGCGGACGGGUGAGUAACGCGUGGGAACGUGCCCUUUGCUUCGGAAUAGCCCUGGGAAACUGGGAGUAAUACCGGAUGAGCCCUACGGGGGAAAGAUUUAUCGGCGAAGGAUCGGCCCGCGUUGGAUUAGGUAGUUGGUGGGGUAAUGGCCUACCAAGCCGACGAUCCAUAGCUGGUUUGAGAGGAUGAUCAGCCACACUGGGACUGAGACACGGCCCAGACUCCUACGGGAGGCAGCAGUGGGGAAUCUUAGACAAUGGGGGAAACCCUGAUCUAGCCAUGCCGCGUGAGCGAAGGAGGCCUUAGGGUUGUAAAGCUCUUCAGCUGGGAAGAUA
rnacentral:rRNA from 1 species